UUCUAGGCUUUAUUAAAAGCUAUAGGUUAUUCACAUUAACUUUGUGU
rfam:Fulmarus glacialis contig79678, whole genome shotgun sequence.